GCUUGUAGCUUAGUGGCCAGAGCAUUAGUGCGUAAAGCCAAAGGUCCCAGGAUCGAUUCCUGGCGGAGGUA
rnacentral:tRNA from 1 species